UACGUAGGGUGCGAGCGUUGUCCGGAAUUAUUGGGCGUAAAGAGCUUGUAGGCGGUUUGUCGCGUCUGCUGUGAAAAUCCGGGGCUCAACCCCGGACUUGCAGUGGGUACGGGCAGACUAGAGUGUGGUAGGGGAGACUGGAAUUCCUGGUGUAGCGGUGAAAUGCGCAGAUAUCAGGAGGAACACCGGUGGCGAAGGCGGGUCUCUGGGCAGUAACUGACGC
rnacentral:rRNA from 1 species